GACGUAGGGCGCGAGUGUUGUCCGGAUUUAUUGGGCGUAAAGAGCUCGUAGGCGGCUUGUCGCGUCGACCGUGAAAACUUGGGGCUCAACCCCAAGCCUGCGGUCGAUACGGGCAGGCUCGAGUUCGGUAGGGGAGUGUGGAAUUCCCGGUGUAGCGGUGAAAUGCGCAGAUAUCGGGAGGAACACCAGUAGCGAAGGCGACACUCUGGGCCGGUACUGACGCUGAGACGCGAAAGCGUGGGGAGCAAACAGG
rnacentral:rRNA from 1 species